rnacentral:siRNA from 1 species
CGGGUGAGCUGACGAGCUGCUU